GAUGAAGAACGCAGCGAAAUGCGAUAAGUAGUGUGAAUUGCAGAAUUCAGUGAAUCAUCGAAUCUUUGAACGCACAUUGCGCCCCAUGGUAUUCCGUGGGGCAUGCCUGUUCGAGCGUCAUUUACCCCCUCAAGCUCCGCUUGGUGUUGGGCGUCUGUCCCGCUUCGCGCGCGGACUCGCCCCAAAGGUAUUGGCAGCGGUCGUGCCAGCUUCUCGCGCAGCACAUUGCGCUUCUCGAGGCACCGGUGGGCCCGCGUCCAUCAAGCUCACCCCCCCAGUUUGACCUCGGAUCAGGUAGGGAUACCCGCUGAACUUAAGCAUAUCAUAAGCGGAGGA
rnacentral:misc_RNA from 1 species